GCCCGGGUAGCUCAGCCUGGAUAGAGCGCUUCCCUCCUAAGGAAGAGGUCAAAGGUUCGAAUCCUUUUUCGGGCG
rnacentral:tRNA from 1 species